AUAGACAGUGAAGCCUGGUGUGCUGCAGUCCAUGGGGUUGCAAAGAGUCAGAUACGACUGAGCAACUGAACUGAACUAAAGACAAAAGCAAAAAAGAAAAAUUGAGCAGAUGGGGCAAAGUCAUAAACAGAUGUUCUGCAGAAGGGGAAAUAAAAUGACUGGACAUCAGUGAUCAGGGAAACAUACAGAAAAAACAUUCACUGUCAUCAGAUUGUCACAAGCUGUAGUCUUAAAAUACCAGGCCUUGUAUUCCCUGAUGGUCCAGUGGUCCAAAAGAAGGGACAUUUGAUCCCUGGUCUAGGAAGAGUACACACACUAAGGGACAAUUAGACCUUUGCACCACAACUAUGGAGCCCUUACACUAUGGAGUGUGAGCACUGCAACAAGAAAAGUCACCGCAGGAGUAGCCUCUGAUCGCGGCAACUAGAGAAAGCCCGCCAGCAGCAGUGAAGACCUAGUAUGGCCAAAAAAAAUACACCAGGCCAAGAUGGAGAGCUAUGGGAGCUCUCAGACUGCUGAGGGGAGUGUAAAUCAGCCUAACUCUGAAAGACACUUUGGCUUUUCCUAGCAAAGUGGAACAUGAACAUGGCGUGGGGCCCAGCAAUUCUGCUACCAGAUUUGUACCCCAGAGGAAAUCUGCACGUGUGCCCCAGAACGUGGGAUGUGUGUAGCUGGCAGUGAUAAGGAGGCUGUAAAAGUCCCAAUUACUGAACAUUGGUGUGGGCCAGGUGUGCUUUUAAGUUCUUUGCAGGAAUUAGCUCGUUUGCUCCUCUACACGUAUAUGAGACGGGAGGUACGGAGAGGCUGAGUAACUAGCAAUGAGGUCCCAGAGCGGAGAGAGGAGCAGUCAGUGGUAACGGAACCCAGGGUCUGUGCCCUAACCACGAGCAAGGCAAAGCACCCUGUACUCAAGUGUCUCAUGUAACACUAAACCCACAGACGUGUGAGGCAGUGACUUUGUUCAUUCUGCGGAUGAAGAAACUAAAGGGCAGAAAUGUGCACGAGGUCACAUGUAGUGAACGGCAGACUGGGAACAGACUCUUAACGCAGUUGUCCCACCUCUCCCUCAUGUGCAUUUUUCACUUAGGGCCGGGGUAACCCAGCGCGGUGAUGAGAAGGAAGCAGACCGUAGAGAGUGGGUCUGAUUAUCGCUCUGGCCCAAUCGUCCCCACGCCGCGCACAGCAGGGAAUCACCUGAGGGACUCCAGCAUCCCGGGGACCAGCUUUCCCGGCCACUAGCCGCAGCCUCCCUCACCUCAUUGGCCAGGGCUGGGUAUGUGCCUUCCGCGCAGCCAAUGGGGCGAGGGGGCGGGGCGACUGGGAAAGUCGCUGGGCGAGAGGAGGGAAGUCCCCCAGCGCAGACUGCGUCUCCUCCCGCGUCCCUGAGAAAUGGAGUGCAAGUUACUGCCCUCAGAGAAGGAGGAGUUGGUGGCCUGGGGCUUCUGGAAGAGAAGGUUUGUAACCACAGCCGGAAGGAAGGGGAGAGGGAACCAACCAGACCAGCAGGACUGGGAAGCGUGGGGCCACCGUCUGCGCUUGGAGACGGGCCGCUGCUCUGUGCUGUCAGCAUGCCCUCCAGUACUCAGCCACCUUCUCGUGAAGCCUGGGAUGUGAUUCUUCCUCCUGCAACUCUUUCCUGAGGGCACAGGUGCGAGUUCUUUUAGGAACAAAGAAACAAAAGAAUGAGGCUCUAAGGUAGAAUUUCAGGCAGGACAGCUGCUGGACUUAAGAUUUUCAAGAGGGAGUGACUCCAUGGACUAGCCCACCAGGCUCCUCUGUCCAUG